rnacentral:lncRNA from 1 species
CCCCUGCCCACGGGGAUGAGCCAAGAGCCACCACCGGAGCCUGGCACCGGCCGCUCUCGCUUCCCCCCUGAGGUGCCCGGGGGGGGGGGGUUCCAAUUUCUGCCUCUUUGGGGGGUUGGCAGAGACAUCCACGGGGCAGGGGGGGAUCCCAAAACCCUCCCCUGCCCUAAACGACCCCUCCCUGGUGCCCCCUGCUCCCGGUACCAGCUCCGGGCAGCCUGGCACAAAGGGUCCCGAGGUGGCACCGCAUCCCUGCGGCGUCACCAAACCCCCCGAGGUGGCACCGAGGGGGGGACAUCCCCCAGCCACACACCCCCCCAGAAUCCCCCCACUGGCCCCCCACAAAUCCCUGCCCGAUUUGGGCCCUGGGAGGUGCUGGGAUGAACUGGGACAUACUGGGAUGCCUCCAGCCGGGCGCACGGCCCCGCGGUCACCGCGCCGAGCACUUUUGGAGCACGGACGCAACCACCCAAAACCUGCCCCAAAACCUGCCCCAUCCCAAAAAAUGCCCCUCCUCCCCCCCAGGAGCUCACCCGACCCCCAGCUCGGCACGGCACGAGGAGCAGAAGGAGCAGGAGCAGCGCAGGACGAGCAGGGUCAAAAUUCGGGGCGCACGGGGUGGGGGCAGCGCCCAGCACCCCCCAAAUAGGGGCGCAGGGAGCCUUGCGGGGUGGGGGGCACCCCAAUACCUCGGUGUGCAGCCGGGGUUGCGCCGCGGGUGCCGCCGAGGCGCAGCAGCAGCAGCUCCGCCAGGCCCAGGCUCGUUCCUUGGCUGCCUCCUGGAAACGGGAGCCGAGGGGAAAACCGCAGGGACUUUCCCAAAAAAAAAAAAUUUAAAAAAAUUAAAAAAUAAAAAAAAUGGGCAGGGUUUUUGCGCUCGGGUUUGGUGUUUUUUAUUUUUUUUUCCCUGCCCAGUUCUCUUCCCAAGGGGGGAAAAUGAAGCGGGGUGGCGCGGGGACACCAGCACCGGGGUCCCCAAUUUGGCACCGGGACCCUCCUCGCUCCUGGGGGGGCCGGAUCCUGCCCUGGGUGGGGGGGGAGGAUUGAGGGGGGGUCCCCGCAGCCCCUCGCCCCCCAAGCAGCAGCCGUGGUCCCCUCCCCGUGGCCGCUCGCCAGCGUGGGCACACAAUGCCCCUUUCAUCCCGCGGGGACACGGGGACAUGGGGACGGGGACGGGGACACG